UACGUAGGUCCCGAGCGUUGACCGGAUUUAUUGGGCGUAAAGCGAGCGCAGGCGGUUCUUUAAGUCUGAAGUUAAAGGCAGUGGCUUAACCAUUGUACGCUUUGGAAACUGGAGGACUUGAGUGCAGAAGGGGAGAGUGGAAUUCCAUGUGUAGCGGUGAAAUGCGUAGAUAUAUGGAGGAACACCGGUGGCGAAAGCGGCUCUCUGGUCUGUAACUGACGCUGAGGCUCGAAAGCGUGGGGAGCAAACAGG
rnacentral:rRNA from 1 species